CUUUAUAUAAACCUCAGAGGCUGUGCGAGUCCCCCUCCCCCUUUAUAUAAACCGCAGAGGCUGUGAGUCCCUCCCCCUUUAUAUAAACCACAGAGGCUGUGCGAGUCCCCCUCCCCCUUUAUAUAAACCUCAGAGGCUGAGUCCUUCCCCCUUUAUAUAAACCUCAAAGGCUGUGUGUGCAAGUCCCUCCCUUAUAUAAACCUCAGAGGCUAUGUAUGCGAGUCCCCCACCCUUAUAUAAACCUGCUGAAACUCUGCUGGGCACUCAGUACUGGCACCAGGAGUGCCCUCCCAGGUAAGAGGGCAUUAAUCUUUAAGACUAGCUGAAGUGCAGCACGGAAUACGGUCGUACUUGAGCUGCUGGAGGCAGCUGUUCAGGUUCUUGAGGGGCUCCUUGCUCACGGCGGGCGGUGGUCUCAGCAGCUCCUCCAGCAGCGAGGCGGGAACUGGGCAGUCCGGGAUCUUGAUGGGCGUGGCAGGGUUGGAAGAGCUGGCCUCGCCUUUCGGCUCCUUUCUCGUCUUGGCCGCGCCGCGGCGUAGGUCCAGCUUGAGCUGCUGGUUCUGCUGGAGCAGGGUCUUCAUGUUGUUCUUCAGCUCCGACACUUUUGCCUGGAGCAUAAAUUUAUCCUUCUGGGUCAUGGACAGGUCUUCCUGGGCC
rnacentral:lncRNA from 1 species